rnacentral:rRNA from 1 species
GACGAACCGAGCGAACGUUGUUCGGAAUCACUGGGCUUAAAGGGCGCGUAGGCGGGCGAUCAAGUCGGUGGUGAAAUCCUGCAGCUUAACUGUAGAACUGCCUCCGAUACUGGUCAUCUCGAGGAAGGUAGGGGUGUGUGGAACUGUUGGUGGAGCGGUGAAAUGCGUUGAUAUCAACAGGAACUCCGGUGGCGAAGGCGACACACUGGACCUUUUCUGACGCUGAGGCGCGAAAGCUAGGGGAGCAAACGGG